rnacentral:rRNA from 1 species
AUUGAACGCUGGCGGCAGGCCUAACACAUGCAAGUCGAGCGGAUGAAGGGAGCUUGCUCCUGGAUUCAGCGGCGGACGGGUGAGUAAUGCCUAGGAAUCUGCCUGGUAGUGGGGAAUAACGUCCGGAAACGGGCGCUAAUACCGCAUACGUCCUGAGGGAGAAAGUGGGGGAUCUUCGGACCUCACGCUAUCAGAUGAGCCUAGGUCGGAUUAGCUAGUUGGUGGGGUAAAGGCCUACCAAGGCGACGAUCCGUAACUGGUCUGAGAGGAUGAUCAGUCACACCGGAACUGAGACACGGUCCAGACUCCUACGGGAGGCAGCAGUGGGGAAUAUUGGACAAUGGGCGAAAGCCUGAUCCAGCCAUGCCGCGUGUGUGAAGAAGGUCUUCGGAUUGUAAAGCACUUUAAGUUGGAAGGAAGGGCAGUAAGUUAAUACCUUGCUGUUUUGACGUUACCAACAGAAUAAGCACCGGCUAACUUCGUG